rnacentral:misc_RNA from 1 species
AAAUAAAUAAAAUGAAAAAAAAAAAAAAGACAAUCAUUGACAUCACGAACCCUAACCUUUUCAGAUGAAGUGUGGAAUAAAGUCUCAACCAAGAGUUCUCUAUAUUAAUUUCCUAGUAGCAGCAUCAACUUUUUCCACCAGUUAACUUCUGCAAUAAUACUUAAUCCAUUGUUGGCCAAAAUUGUUUUAAUUUGAACCAAUGGACAACCCUAUGAUUCAAUUGAAUCAACUCUGUCCAGGUAUCAUGAUUCAAAAUUUGACUUCCUUGUCCAGCAUUGUUUUUAAAGGACCACAAAACAGCUCUCAGGAUCAAAUCCCCACAAUGAAUGUGGUAUUACACCACCACCACUGCUACCCUCUAAAAACACAAGCUAUCCUAUAGCUCAUCACCACUUGGAUCUUCCAUGCUAUCACUAUAUAUUUCCAUCCACAGAUGCCUUCCUAUGAACCAUGCCUUGAAAGCUAGUUUCUCUAAGUUACCAAUAUAAUGACUGUAAAAGCCUUUCGAAAAUAAUUCUCUUUCCUGCAGACAAGAAAACAUCAAGUUCUAACCAAUAACCAUUGUACAAGUUGUCAAGCAAUUUUUACAGUCCAAUCAAGAGAACAAAUUCUAAUUUGCGGUGAAAAUAGAGGCAAAAAUCUGAAGAGGAAUUGAUGUAAUGGCCUAACAGAUUGCUUCAGUCUUCAGAUAGGACUCUUUUUAUUUCCACCCUCUAAAACCAACAGUAAUUUUAAUCCUCUCUCAAACUUCCACCUAAGACACAAAAACAGAAGACUACCUAUUUCAUGACUUGAAUCAAUUGCUAUCAGUCUGCAAGGAAGAUAAAUGUCCCACUUCACCUAACAGGACCAAUUCACUUUCCUUUCAGUCUACAUCAAUGCCAAGCCACCUCAAAGAAAAAGUGAUUGCUUAAAAAAGACAUUGAUUAGUUAUUGUCAACACUACGGAAUAAUUGCACACCAAUAUUCAAAAUGAUUAAUGAAGACCUCAUUUUCCUAGUGCAAAUUCUUUCUACAGGAGUGCCAAGGCUUCUAUCAUGAAAAGUCUAUAAAGAGUGGUUAAUGCGCUUCCAUCACCAAAAGUUUAUAACAUCCAAUCUAACACAAAGUCUAAGCUCCCUGGUGGUGGAAGCCCCAUAAAUAAAAUU